CUCGGUUACUGCCGAUGUGGCAUUUUGUGUCCCUUGUCGAAAGUUCUGUGUUGGGUCCAAUGCUAACACAGACAAGGCCUUCACUCAAGCUGGGUAUUCUAACUGGAAGAAUAACAUUGAUAGUACCAAAGGAUUUGAUGCACAGGCUCCAAGCAAAUUAUGACCUUAUGUAACGACAAAUCUCCAGCAAUAUGUAGUGGACAGUACAGUAAGGACAGAGGAGGAGAGACUGAGUAUAAAAUAAUGUUCUUCAGCACGUUGGGAUGCUGUCAAUGGUGAAAUGUCCUGCAAUGAUUCUCUGGGCCUGUCUUCGCUAUGCCGACCGUGCUUACUGCACUGAAACACUUUUGGGCCAUCCACUGGUACAUGCGAGAACUCAUUUUCCACUUUGACAAACAUGUUCAGUCAACACAGAAGAAGCAUGCUACACCCAAGGAAAGCUCAACUAAUCCAACUGGCAUUUGAGGGGGAUCUUACCAGAAGAUUUCAGGGAGAAUUGAAUGAUUGAUUACUCAGGAAGUUCAACAGAACAUCAAGGAGGCUGCAACUCUUUCGAAAAGGCCACCGCCCAGCAGUUGAUCCGGCGCGCACAGUGUCUUGGGAGGGCAAGCAGUGGAGGACAUGGCAUCUCUACAUUGGUCCAUGUAGAGAGGAGCUAGCUGCAGAAGAGUGCUGUGGAGCUACAGGGCACGGAUGUACCAGGGUCUCUCUUCAUCAUCAACCACUGGGUGGACACGGGUUUGACAGGAUCACUGGCAGCAAUACUAGCAACCUUCCCUCAGGGUCACAUCAAUGCUCUCCUCCACUAAAAUAGAAACACCUACAGAAUCCUAAACCGCUCCCAAUGCAAUCCAAUGCGUUGGGAAUAUCCUUUAACUACACCAAGCCAAGUGACACAAAAUGCACUGAGAAAUAUGAGAAAGUGGAGCAUGUCUCUAGUAUCUCUGUUAACUUCCCCCUGCUGGCUAUCUGUUGCUUCCCGUAAUAAACUGGGAGAUUAUGAGCAGGCCAGAUGUGGAGAGGGAACAUUCUCCUCCGGGCUGGGACCUAUGUAGGCCACUGACUGAGAGUACUGACUGGAGCUCAACCAACCUCUCUUCUGAAUGUCUUAUCUGGGGGGAACAAAUACCAACACAUUUUGGAUGCAUGUGUGAUGUGUAGGGACAGGAGGUUUUCCUGAGUAUGAAAGGGAAAAGCUUGGCCCUAAUGAUGUACAGUAUCUAGUCAUAGAGGGGGUCUGGCAUGGGUGAAUACUGUAGAUGGGAUGGAGAUUGUGCUGACUUAUAUCAUGCUGACAAUAGACAUCUCUCAUUACUAAACAUUGAUAUGUCCACAGUUAUUUGUGAUAGUUAGUAUUGUUGUGUCAGUCUAUUUUGAGCACUGAGAAGCAACUCUUGAGGCAUUUCUUGUUCUCGAUAUUCCAUUAGUCGAACAGACAUGAACCUUCUACGAUGUUUACCACAUACUGUGUAUGAGAGCUCCCAAUAAACUAAAUUGGGGUUCUUUCUUUUUCCAGAGGCUCCUUCAGACGUUUUAGUUGCAUCCUUUCAAGAACCUUGUUUUGGUUCGUCUAAUCUCUUUGAUGAUCAAAUAUAAUAAAAUUG